UCUAUCGGCUUAUGUUUUUUAAAGAACUAAAUUUAUCCAGAAGCCCCGUUACAAAAGCUUGAGAAAACAAAACAACAUAAAUCGAUACACAAAAUAGUCAGCCGAAAGACAAGAAAGUCAUGACGCGUGGGACCGUAUAGCAUAUUGAUUCGAACCAAAAACUUGAUAAAGAGUUGGAAAAGAAAGUGCCAAAGAGUGGAAGAGAAAGAGAUUGCAUUGUGUAUG
ensembl:ncRNA C18C4.15 ncRNA